ACAUUACUUAUAUCAGAGCGAGACUUUGUACAAGUCAUUUGUAAGGAAUGUAUGUAAGUGAGUUCUAAGGACCUACCAUGUAAUGUUUUAGAAAAUUCGAGGCUGAACGAAAGAUAAAUUUGAUAAUUACAUAAUACAUACAGUUUAAAAAUAUUAAAGAUGUUAAAGUAUCGUUUCCUUGGACUAAUAUGGUAGGAACGAAAUGUUAAGUUAAAAAAUUAAGCAACUGAACCGAUUAAAAACAAAUUAUAGGACUAAUUUAUAAGCACAUAUAUCCUGUCAAGUAAAAAAAUAAUUUUCCAAAUUUUUUAUAACUGACAGAGUUAUGAGGUUAGAAACAUAACAAAAAAUACAACCGAAUUGAGUACCGUAUUCUUUUUGAAAUAGGUUGAAAAAAAUUGUAGCAGAGUAUCACCACGUAACUUGCUAGUUAAGUUAGUAAAAGUAAGUGUUAAAUUUCGUCAAAUGUUAAUUUGUUGGCCUCUCAAAAUGCAUCGAUAAAUCAAUCGUGCAAUAUUAUAAUCAAUACGUUCAUAACAUUUGCGUUAGAUGGCACCAGUGGACCGUGAGUAAUCGGAGAGCAGGAAAGUACGUACCCACAUGCGAUAUUUAAACAACGAUAAUGUGAACAGCCGGUUGUAAAAAUAUCGGACUCGACGAGAUCGCGUUAUCAGAAUACCAGCAAUAAUCAGCAUUUAAAAUAACAAAAAGGAAAAACAAAUUUAUUUUACAUAUUUCGUUUAUUAUGAAGUUCGUAGUGGUUAUGUUGUUUAUAUUUGCUGUGCUAAUUGGAUAUCAAGAGGUCAACGCAGCUGUGAGAGCAAGGCAUCCAUGCUAUGGAGACUGCGUCGAGAUGUGUGGUCUGCAAGGCAAAAGUUCUGGCACCUGCAUGAGGGGUGUUUGUCGAUGUUUCUCCGAUGUGGGUUCAUAAUUAUGAUAAAUAAUUUGCGUCAAGUCAUCACAAUGUACUUUAAAAAGUAAUUAUCAAUGCAUUAUUUAGUCGAUUAUAUUGGAUUUGCAUCGCCAAGAGCAUUUAUUGCAUUUCUUAUGGUCGAUUUGAUAGAUAAUACCGCUAGGUGUUAGGUCUACUAUACGAGAAUUAUACUUUAUGUAUAAUUAGGUUUUACCUGUGACUUUGUCUGCGUGAUGAUCUAUAUGUCUCUAUGUCCUUCCAUUCCAUAUAAUAGGCAUAUACUAAUUUUUAAAUUAAAUAGUUUAGCCGGUUAAGGUACUAAAAGGCAACAAACGAACUCACUUUCCCAUUGAUAACAUUAGUAAAGACGUGCAUAAAAACAAAUAAAUGUAUAAUUAAUUUGUACAUUCAGUGAGAUGUAAUUCUGGGCUUUGUCCAUGUAAUGGAGGUUAGUACAAUGCAAGAGUAAGUCUAAGAUGCUAAGCUAAGUUACCUACCUUUAGUUUUUAGCACAAAAAAUCGUUAAGACCUCUCUUUUAAAUAUUAUAGUCAUGUAAAAGAUAGUUUAAAUGUAUUGAAUAACUGGAUAGAUUUAUAGUUAAUUUACAGUUACUUUUAUAGUUAAUGUGUACUUAUAAAUUGUAAAUAAACAUAACAUGUAAAAGACAAUUCGUCAUAGUCCUAGAAUACUGACGGAUCUUUAUAUGUAAUAUUUGUCAGAUCCGUCAGUAUUCUACGACUAUGACGAAUUGUUUAAAAUUUUAGUAUUUCUUUUUAAUAGAAUAAAAAGAAAAUAUUCAUUAUAUCUUUAGGUUUAAAAAAAUAAAAUUAUGCAUUCGAAGUUUUUUUUUUAAGUGUUCAGUUAUUGUAUUAGUAAUUAUAGUUAUAGUCAUACUUACCUCCUGAUAUGUAAAUAAAUAUUAUAUGAUUCUUA